ACAGAAGAAGGAGAGUUGGCUAUUCCAGACCAUCACGAUUAACCGAGACACUCCAAACAAACACAGUCGACCAAGAAACUGUUGUGGUUGGUCAUGAUGAGAUUGAUACACCAGCUGCUGGUCAAGACAUCCAGGGAUCAAUAUACAGGGAUAUUGCUACUCUGAGGCCCAUGCAGGAAAGUCAUAUUGUGAUUCAAAGAUGGCAAAUAAGCGCAAAAAGAUAAAAAGUUGGGUUGCAAGUUGAAAAAAAAACAUUGUAACAGCAGCUGAUAUGAAAACUGUCCUUGACUCUAGAACAGGUGUUGCUGGAUGUCAAGUCUCUAAAUGUGCUAACAACACCUCAUAACACAAACUGAUUACACACAAGUUAGAAGGAAUAAAUGAUUUUAAUGAGUUGUGAGUUGAAAAAGAUGGUAUACUACUGAGGAAAGCCUACAACAUCGGCAAGGUAAAAUUUAUUCCUAAUAAAUCCAUAGACCAAAUGGAUUUUGGUAAACGACAGGAAAAUAAAACAGAAUAAUGUGUGAUAAUAUCAGGAUUUGAUUUACCUGUUAAUGUAACUGGAAAAAUCAAAAUGCCUAAAACAGUUGGUGCAGUUAAUCUCCAUGAAGGACCAGAAAUAAAAAACAGAAAAUGGUGAAGACU